AAGCCAAUAUUUAGAUAAACCUGUGAAAAGUCUUCGGGUUCAGAGAAAAACAGUAUCAUAAUACCUGAAAGGUACACAGGACACUGGAAUGUACCACAUAAAAUCUGACCUGCAAACGGUUGAGCUGGAAAUGCCCACUGGGUUGACUGCAAAACAGAUAGAAAGAGUGUUUCAGAUUCUGUUAGAGGGUUGUGUAGUUGCUUGGUUUUCCAGGAAAAAAGCAUGUGUAGCACUCCCAAUGGUUGAGGCAGAAUAUGUUGCAACAGCUGCAAGUGUUUGUGAUCUGUUGUAUAUCGAAUGACUGGACUGUAACUUAAACGGUAAUAGUGAAGCAUUGUGCACUUUAUAUAUUGAUAACGGAGGUGCUAUUCAAAUUGUGAAAUCUUUCAAAAAUACGAAGGGUGUUAAAUUUCGGAGAGUGAAUUCGCGUCUAUGGAGUGGAGGAAGAAAGAUAAAGACGCGCCAGUUAAAACGAAGGUUAUACUCUCAACGGAGAAGGUGUUGUGUACCAAGUUUUGAGACAUGAGAGGAGUAUGUUCGAUUGAUUUUCACACGGCUAGUAUUAUAUUAACCUCCUAAAAAACACGGUGACACUGCCGACGGAUCAAAACGACGCGAUAUUCCAAUCCGUAGUGCAAUAUUGAUGCAAGACUGCGCCAGAUCGCAGACAGCUCAGCUUACGAUGGAAACUUGGAACGAAUUGCACUGGGAAACACUGGAACACCCUCCUCAUAGUCCCAAUGUGUCGCCAUGUGACUAUUAUUUAUUUGAUUCUGUUGUGAUGUCUACUACGUCGCUUAGCCUUACCAGUUCCAUGGCUACAACUGCCGUUUUUAAACGAGCACUACAAACCAUGGAUGAAUCAAAAAAUGCCGGUAUGAAGUCUGACUAGAGCGAGAAGGAGAAUAUUUAGAAUAUGUAAUGAAGUAUCAACAAUAUGUAUUUUCUCAAACAAUUAAAAUAAUUAUAAGUUCA